UCGCGUGUAGCUCAAUGCCCACGCACUUAGCCGAUGGGAAAUCACGAAUUGAUGACCAGUUGGCUCUUGGAUCUGAGGAAAAAUCUCCAGCGUCAGAGGGAACUCUCGAAGUUUUGCCCGGAGCAAACGGAAGGGUGGCGUUGCCAUCGCCUAAGAUGGGAAAAUGGCAGGUGUCACAGGUUGCAGGGGAAGGUCGGAGACCAGCUGAGGGCCCCGGAGCCUUCCUGGAAAGAGUUUCCCAUCCAGCCCGUCUCGGUUUCCGCAUCCGUCUGAUUCCUUAUGACGUUGAGGGUGCUGGCGUCUGGGUCCUUUAUGAUGCAGAGGGUGCCCCCGUCUCACCCCGGGCGCCUCCGCGCUCUCGCCUCCUCCUGGCAACCUGGUGCGCGACUCCGGACCUGGCGACCCACGACCGGCUGGUCACUUGCUGCCACCUCGCAAAGGCGCAUCUCUAGUCCAGUGGUGAGCUGCGGCCGGGUCGCUGCAACUCGCUCCAGGCCUCCGGACUCGUGGCCUCGGUGUCUCUCGCGGAGCCCUCGGUGUGUCGCUUGCAGGCUCUUUUUUUGAAGAAAGCAGGGAGGGAAUGGCCUUGUGAGAGACUCCAGGAGCAAAGAGCGACCCUCACAAGGCCCAAGUCCUCCCAGAGCUCAGGGAAGCUGUCGCUUCUGACAGAAGAAGGGAGACAAAGCUCCCUCCUGCGAGUCCCUGGUGGUCUAGUGGCUAGGAUUCGGCGCUUUCACCGCCGCGGCCCGGGUUCGAUUCCCGGUCAGGGAAUUGUUUUACACUGGCCGCCCUCCCGCAGGAAUCUUCCUUCACUACGCUGUCAGCCGGCCUGCUCCAAGGGCCAGAAGCAGAACAGUCUCCGCAGCGGGGUUAAAGCCGGACGAAGGAGGGCAAGUGCUGGUGGACCACCUCUCACGACACACCGUUCCUGUUUAU